rnacentral:rRNA from 1 species
CACGUAGGGCGCAAGCGUUGUCCGGAAUUAUUGGGCGUAAAGAGCUCGUAGGUGGUUUGUUACGUCUGCUGUGAAAACCUAGGGCUUAACCCUGGGCUUGCAGUGGAUACGGGCAGACUAGAGGUAGGUAGGGGAGAAUGGAAUUCCUGGUGUAGCGGUGAAAUGCGCAGAUAUCAGGAGGAACACCGGUGGCGAAGGCGGUUCUCUGGGCCUUACCUGACGCUGAGGAGCGAAAGCAUGGGGAGCAAACAGG